AGGUAGACGACAGCGACAACCACGACCACAAAGCUCAGUUUCUGCUGAGGACACGCUGCAAGUUAGGGCUGCAUAUAAUUACCGAAUCAGCCGCGAUGACAUCGUGGAAAGAUCAGGAAAAGACGACUUGGAGCUGAAAGGCAUUCAAUG